rnacentral:lncRNA from 1 species
UUAAAGAAUAACAAAUCAAAUAUAUUUCACCAAAUUAUAACACUUUUACGCAGAAGUCAUCGCUGACUUGGGGAGGAAGGACUUAAAGAUUUUUAAACCUUUUUAAUCCAUGCAUGAUUGAUUGAAUGUUCUUCCUAAGGCUUUGGUGGUUCUGCAGCAGCAGAUUCCUCCACCUUGGGAGGAGGAGCCUCAGCAGCAGCAUCUGGCUUGGUAGGUUUAGGUUUCUCAACCUCCUCCUCUUUCUCCUCCACCACUACCUCUUCUUUCUUCUCCUCCACCACCUCUUCUUUCUUCUCUUCUUCAAUCACUAUCUCCUUUUCUUUUACACUACCA